GGUGAGUUGUCCGAGUGGUUGAAGGAGCCUGCCUCGAAAACAGGUGUACGGCAACGUACCGGGGGUUCGAAUCCCUCACUCACCG
rfam:Bacteroidales bacterium WCE2004 genome assembly, contig: Ga0070256_14